GACUGAGCUAAAGUUAAUCUGUUGUGACAUUCUGGAUGUACUGGACAAACACCUCAUUCCAGCAGCUAACACUGGCGAGUCCAAGGUUUUCUAUUAUAAAAUGUUGGCAAAAGCAGCUUUUGAUGAUGCAAUUGCAGAACUGGAUACACUGAGUGAAGAAAGCUAUAAGGACUCUACACUUAUCAUGCAGUUGUUACGUGAUAAUCUGACACUAUGGACUUCAGACAUGCAGGGUGAUGAUUCCUAAAGGAAAAUCCAACUCUUCCUUUCCUAAAAACUCUACUUUGUGAAGAGCAGAAUAAAGAAGCGCUGCAGGAUGUGGAAGAUGAAAAUCAGUGAGACAUAAAAGCCAACAAGAGAAACCAUCUCUGACCACCCCACUCCUCCCCAUCCCACCCCUUGGAGAUUCCCCAUUGUCACUGAGAACCACCAAAUCUGACUUUUACAUUUGGUCUCAGAAUUUAGGUUCCUGCCUUUUUUUUUUUUUUUUUUU